AUUGAACGCUGGCGGCAGGCCUAACACAUGCAAGUCGAACGGUAACAGGAAGAAGCUUGCUUCUUUGCCGACGAGUGGCGGACGGGUGAGUAAUGUCUGGGAAACUGCCUGAUGGAGGGGGAUAACUACUGGAAACGGUAGCUAAUACCGCAUAACGUCGCAAGACCAAAGAGGGGGACCUUCGGGCCUCUUGCCAUCGGAUGUGCCCAGAUGGGAUUAGCUAGUAGGUGGGGUAACGGCUCACCUAGGCGACGAUCCCUAGCUGGUCUGAGAGGAUGACCAGCCACACUGGAACUGAGACACGGUCCAGACUCCUACGGGAGGCAGCAGUGGGGAAUAUUGCACAAUGGGCGCAAGCCUGAUGCAGCCAUGCCGCGUGUAUGAAGAAGGCCUUCGGGUUGUAAAGUACUUUCAGCGGGGAGGAAGGGAGUAAAGUUAAUACCUUUACUCAUUGACGUUACCCGCAGAAGAAGCACCGGCUAACUCCGUG
rnacentral:rRNA from 1 species